rnacentral:rRNA from 1 species
AUUGAACGCUGGCGGCAGGCCUAACACAUGCAAGUCGAGCGAGCGGCGGACGGGUGAGUAAUGUAUGGGGACUGCCCGAUAGAGGGGGAUAACUUCUGGAAACGGUAGCUAAUACCGCAUAUUAUCGGAUUUCCCAAAUGGGAUUAGCUAGUAGGUAAGGUAAUGGCUCACAUAGGCUACGAUCCCUAGCUGGGCUGAGAGGAUGAUCAGCCACACUGGGACGGAGACACGGCCCAGACUCCUACGGAGGCAGCAGUGGGGAAUAUUGCACAAUGGGCGCAAGCCUGAUGCAGCCAUGCCGCGUGUAUGAUGAAGGCCCUAGGGUUGUAAAGUACUGUCAGUCGGGAGGCGUUACCGACUGAAGAAGCACCGGCUAACUCCGUGCCAGCAGCCGCGGUAAUUC